GGUCUUGGCUCCGGCCCUACGAUCGACGCGCGACCUGCGGACUUACGGUCUUCAGACGCACGAGCGCGACCGCGGUGCACAGGAGGGCAGGAACGACGUGAUGAUGAUGGUGAUGAUAGUGGUGGUAGUGGUGGUAGUGGUGGCGGCGGCGGCGGCGAUGUACAGCGCGCUAUCGUUCACGAGGCACAUCCCCGAGCGUGCGACGACGCGCGAUAUAUCCGCCAUCGCCAAUGAUACACUUCCGUGUUUUCGUAUUUUUGUUUCUUUUUCGCUUCCCUUCUUCUCUCUUUUCUCCAGCAAGAAGGUCAGGGCUUUACCGAUUCGCCCAACGUCUCGCGAUCAACGGUAGACCCUUAAAUGGAUCCAUCCGACCCGGGAGUCGCGCCCGUACUGAUCGUCGGCCUUCCGACCGUACCAAGUGACGAGAUUAUAACUAACCCAACCCAACUUGCGCCCCACCCAACCCUGUACGAGUACUGGCCUCCAUGGCCUUCCCCGUAUCGUGUCGCGUCGCACCGUGUCGUGUCGCCAUCCCUUUCGCAGGGUGAGAGGGGGAGGGGCGAAGUCGAGAGAAAUCAAAUGGACAGCGCGUUCGGGACUAAUAGCGGACACCAAUUUGGAAGCGAAUUUGUUCUGAGAGCGAGAUAGACCUUUUUACCUCCGAAAGAAAAUAUUUAACCAAACUGGAUCUUGAAGACAAACGUAAAGGUUGCCAAAAGUGCAAGCCGUUGAUGCAAUUUGACUUUGCGAGCGUGCCAGCGAGCUUCUAACGCUCUAUGAUGACCAAGAAUCUGAUGAAUAACAGCUAAUACGUGAGAUGCGCCUUCGCUAUAAUCAGCUGCUGGAUUACCACUCGUCCCGACUUGCACAAGAUGGUCCAGUUGGUAAAGAAGCUUCUUACUGGUACUAUGCACCUAAAUAAGAAUUUUACCCAAUCCCACUUAAGAAAUAUUCGUAUAUACAACAUCUGUUAUGAAUAUAUGGCUUUAUACAUAUAAUAUGUAAUGGGAUAAAUAACAUAAAUUAACUUUUAAUCAAAA